ensembl:lncRNA
AUGGCCCUGGAGGAAGAGUGGCUGCGCAGCCGUCUCAGGCUGUGUGAGCUGCGCACGGAGGAGAGACCUGACUGUGGGGAGACGCGCGUGGGACACAUGCAGGUGACUGUCAACUGCCAGGCCUGUCCCCCGCCAGCGUACAACAGAUGCUCUCUUCUGAGUUCCCUGAGCAUGUAUACCCAAGCCCUGAUGGACGCCGCGAGGAGGGCACCUGCCGGGGAAGGACCGCCGCCACGGGCGAGAAACGGUGCCCUCGAGGGGUUUGCAGCGGCCCUGACGGAAAGCAUCCUGCAGUCGGCGUGGCAUCGCUGGGAGGUGGGCGAGAGCCAAAGGGCGCAACACUGUGGCCAGCAUGAGGAGGACAAGGCCAAAACCUCGUCCCAGAUUACGGUCCCUCCGGAAGGUGCUGGACACGCACCGAGCGUCACUCAGGAACGGAAGCCCCCCUUGGAGACACUGUGGGAGGCAGGGGGCGAUGAGGGCAUGGCGGUGUACGAUGAGGACAGCCUCCCCUCCGCCGUGGCCCACUCUGCGCUUCCCAGUGAGGGCUCCAUCGACUACCCUAGUGCUCCGCCCACCUCCCCCCUUCUCCCAGAAACGGUCAGGAGUCCAGGAGGUUUCUCAAGGAGCCUCAAAUGCGGCUUGGCCAACGGAUUCCGUCCCUCUCCACCCCCACCGACCCCUAAAGAUGCCGCCUGCUCGGAGCAGGGCAGUCCCGUCAUCGGGGAGGACAAGGCAGACUUCAUGGCGCGACUGAUGCGCUCGCUGUCGCUCGAGUGCACUCAGGACGAGCUGAGCGGGACGGAGGUCCAGAAGGACGGGACAACGAGGAGCGGACGAGCCAGAGCGGAGAUAACCUGCUUAUCGGAUUAUGCGGACUGGCUGUCGGCAGAGAUCAUCGAGGGGCUCGUGACGCUCAGCCCAGAGCAGUCAGAGGAACCCGGCGGAGUGGAGAUCAGUGCUGAGAGUCCUGGCAUACAGAGUCACCAGACGGGUCCUAUGUCCUGCAGUGUGGAGGGCGAUCCAAACGGUGGAGCCACACGCGCAGCGGCUGAGAGCUGGGCUGAGAGGGUGCUGGAAAUUGCAGUGCUGGAGGCAGCGGCAAAGCAGAAGGAAAUGCAAGAAGGUUCCGGGCCUUCGAGGGCAGGGCCGUCUGUGGACGUUGCGCCGUGUCGUGGGACUCCGACACAGAGAGGGCACCCCGACAUCGGUGGAUCCGGGAUGGAAGGUCUGGAGGAGCUUGCUGAGGAAUUGGUUGCCGAGGCUCUGCAACAGGCAGGCCUCUGUCAACAACCGGACCAGGAGCAAGACGGUCGCUCCGAGAACAACCUGACCCCGGCGCUGGAACAGAGGACGCAGCCCUGCCUCGAACCCCAAACCCUCGGCAGGUCAAGACUCCCCAGCCUAGGACCAAGGCCCCACCUGACCCCUCUGCCUCCCCGGUGCAGCUCUUUCGCAUCAGACCUAGCGGAGAAAGUGCUGAGAAGCUCUACGCUGGAAGCCGCCAAGCUGCGCAGAGGGCCGGCUGGGUCACGGGUUCGAGCGCUGCUGGGCAGCUGGAACCACAGCGGCUCGCGGGCACUGCAGGGCCUGCUCCUCUGGGCUGCCGCCUCGCACAUGGAGACCGCGGUCCUGCAGCUCACACUCACGGACGCGCAGCUUCAAACAAAGGUACGGCAAAUCCCACGCAGCAUUUACACUCCCAAGUUAGUAUCACCAAAGUGCAGCUCAUAUCACCCAGUGCAGAACAGUUACAGUACAAAUACAGCCUAACCAGAGUUACAUUGAGCAACGAUAAUAUGAGACGUGUGUGAGUUCAUAAGAGAAAUACAAUUAUGCUACACUUAUGCACUUUAUUGAAAAAUAUUUUCCGUCUCCAUAAUUUAACCACAGAUGAGGUCAUCAGCACUGGUAACAUUUAGCAUUUUUCCAAUAUGAAGUGCAGCAUGUGCAACGUAUGCAGAUAGUGUGUUAUAAUAUACAUAUUCAUACAUACAUAUGCUAAUUUAGACAUAACUGUAUUGCUAUCAUUUUGAUGUCCUGAGAGGAACUUUUUCUAAAGCAGACUAGAGCACUUAAAUAUUUGUACAUCUUCCCUUUUUAUGUACAUAUUUCGCUCAGGGGUAAAACAGCUGCUCCCACUGUGGGACUUGAAUAUGCAUUUACAUUUCUUCAUUUAGCGGACGCUUUUUUCCCAAGAGACGGAAAAUACAACGAGCGCAUGACAUCAGCGGAAAGAGACACUUGGAUGCAGGCGCGUGAUUCUAAAGCACACUUAAUUUGUCACAGCUUUGGAUUUUAGGGCCAGGUGUUUAACCAAGUCCCACUGCUACAUGAUCUUCCUGCCCUGACGCGUUUCGUACCGUGGUUCAGUUUUGCAGCGUGGCCCGGCGAGCGCAGCUCUCUGGCUGGACCGUGGGAGACCUGGUCACAUCGGUGCUGCGGUUCUGCGAACAGGACGAGAGGGCCGUGGAGAGGAGGCAGAGUCUCACUGACCUCUGUCUGAUCGAGUGUCUGCAGAAGCAGCUGGGAGAAGCUGCUUAGCGGAGCCAGCGACUAGUGCGUGGGGGGGGACGUCUCCAAACAAUAACAGCAAUACAAUAACAGCGCUGGACUGAGACAAGAGCGCAAGAACGGAUGCCGGAACACACGGAUACAUGGCGACUGACACGACGCACCAGAAGCAGGACCGAUUCCCCAGCUAUAGGACUGUCAUCAUGGACUGUCGUCACUCCAGGCCCGGGGGGUGUUUUUUACAUGGAAAAAAUACAUGUAUCACUUGUUUUUAUACUGGAUUUUUGCACUGAAUAAAUAUGCAAAUGUGGGUUAUUUACGCGUUUCG